GGUGCUUGCACUUGAAAGAUUUAACAUUGAGACGAGUGGCGAACUGGUGAGUAACACGUGGGUAACCUGCCCUUGAAGUAGGGGAUAACACUUGGAAACAGGUGCUAAUACCGUAUAACAACCAAAACCACCUGGUUUUGGUUUAAAAGACGGCUUCGGCUGUCACUUUAGGAUGGACCCGCGGCGUAUUAGCUUGUUGGUAAGGUAACGGCUUACCAAGGCGAUGAUACGUAGCCGACCUGAGAGGGUAAUCGGCCACAUUGGGACUGAGACACGCCCCAAACUCAAACGGGAGGCAGCAGUAGGGAAUCUUCCACAAUGGACGAAAGUCUGAUGGAGCAACGCCGCGUGAGUGAUGAAGGGUUUCGGCUCGUAAAACUCUGUUGUUGGAGAAGAACAGGUGUCAGAGUAACUGUUGACAUCUUGACGGUAUCCAACCAGAAAGCCACGGCUAACUACGUGCCAGCAGCCGCGGUAAUACGUAGGUGGCAAGCGUUGUCCGGAUUUAUUGGGCGUAAAGCGAGCGCAGGCGGUUUUUUAGGUCUGAUGUGAAAGCCUUCGGCUUAACCGGAGAAGUGCAUCGGAAACCGGGAGACUUGAGUGCAGAAGAGGACAGUGGAACUCCAUGUGUAGCGGUGAAAUGCGUAGAUAUAUGGAAGAACACCAGUGGCGAAGGCGGCUGUCUGGUCUGUAACUGACGCUGAGGCUCGAAAGCAUGGGUAGCGAACAGGAUUAGAUACCCUGGUAGUCCAUGCCGUAAACGAUGAGUGCUAAGUGUUGGAGGGUUUCCGCCCUUCAGUGCUGCAGCUAACGCAUUAAGCACUCCGCCUGGGGAGUACGACCGCAAGGUUGAAACUCAAAAGGAAUUGACGGGGGCCCCGCACAAGCGGGGGGAGCAUGGGGGUUAAAUCCGAUGCUACCCGGAAGAACCUUUACCAGGUCUUUGACAUCUUUCUGCCAACCUAAAAAAAUUAAGGCGUUUCCCUUCCGGGG
rnacentral:rRNA from 1 species